rnacentral:rRNA from 1 species
UACGUAGGGCGCAAGCGUUGUCCGGAAUUAUUGGGCGUAAAGAGCUCGUAGGCGGUUUGUCGCGUCUGCUGUGAAAACUCGAGGCUCAACCUCGGGCGUGCAGUGGGUACGGGCAGACUAGAGUGCGGUAGGGGAGACUGGAAUUCCUGGUGUAGCGGUGGAAUGCGCAGAUAUCAGGAGGGACACCGAUGGCGAAGGCAGGUCUCUGGGCCGCAACUGACGCUGAGGAGCGAAAGCAUGGGGAGCGAACAGG